AUACGUAGGUGACAAGCGUUAUCCGGAUUUACUGGGCGUAAAGGGCGUGUAGGCGGUCUUGCAAGUCAGAAGUGAAAUUCCUGAGCUCAACUCGGGCGCUGCUUCUGAAACUGCAGGACUUGAGUGCUGGAGGGGAUAGCGGAAUUCCUAGUGGAGCGGUAAAAUGCGCAGAUAUUAGGAAGAACACCGGUGGCGAAGGCGGCUAUCUGGACAGUAACUGACGCUGAGGCGCGAAAGCGUGGGGAGCAAACAGGAUUAGAUACCCUGGUAGUCCACGCAGUAAACGAUGAUGACUAACCGUCGGCGAUAGAUCGCCGGUGGCCAAGCGAAAGCGAUAAGUCAUCCACCUGGGGAGUACGACCGCAAGGUUGAAACUCAAAUGAAUUGGCGGGG
rnacentral:rRNA from 1 species